AGCAGUAUGGUGUAAUGAUGCACACGGGGUUUUCUUAAGUACCUCGUGAGAAGAUAGGUUAUUCCCGAGGCCCUUGUUCGAGUCAAGGUACUGUUC